ACCCGAGGCAUCAGACCUCUGGCCAGCCCCUCCCGAAUCCCACCCUUCUCACCUGUGACAAACACCCUCCGCAUGUGCUGGGUGAACAUCCGAGCCUGCUUUCCAGUCUUAGAGAUGCACCUGACCUCCUCAUCGCCUUCCCGCCCAGCUGUGAGUCUGGUGUGUUGGAAGCUACUGAAGACAGACCAAGUUUCUGCCGGUGAACUGUUUGCCAACGGGUGACUAUAAAUAAGCA
rnacentral:lncRNA from 1 species